AAAUUUGGGGUUAGAAGUUUUGAGAUUUGUAGGUGAGGUCAGUGGCUAGAUCGAACAAUUGGGUUUGUUGCUGUGCUUUAGACAGAAUAGGCCUGGUAGUCUAGUGGUUUGUUGUGUGUUAGUGUACCUUUGAUACCCGGGUUCAAGUUCUCAAGUGUGUUUUGAGAAACUAUUUUUGAUUUAGUUUGUUUUCUUUUAAAAGUCUAAAUAUUUUAUUUAUUCAUUUAUUUUUAUUUAUUUUUAGUUUUUUUUAAA
rnacentral:lncRNA from 1 species